rnacentral:rRNA from 1 species
GAUGAACGCUGGCGGCGUGCCUAAUACAUGCAAGUCGAGCGAACGGACGAGAAGCUUGCUUCUCUGAUGUUAGCGGCGGACGGGUGAGUAACACGUGGAUAACCUACCUAUAAGACUGGGAUAACUUCGGGAAACCGGAGCUAAUACCGGAUAAUAUUAUGAACCGCAUGGUUCAAAAGUGAAAGACGGUCUUGCUGUCACUUAUAGAUGGAUCCGCGCUGCAUUAGCUAGUUGGUAAGGUAACGGCUUACCAAGGCAACGAUGCAUAGCCGACCUGAGCGGGUGAUCGGGCACAGGGUAGGGGGGACGCGCAGCAACACUGUGAGGGAGGCAGGGGGAGGGAAUCUACCGGAGGGGGCAGAAGGCAGGCGUAGACACGGCGGGCAAGUGAGGAAGGGCCUCGGCGCGUAAAACAUGAUUAUUUGGGGAGAAUAAAUGUCUAAGAGCUUGGAAAAUAAUGGCGGUACCAGAAGAAGAAGGCCCGGCUAAACCCGGG